rnacentral:lncRNA from 1 species
UUCGUUGCAGAAUCUACUUGUUUGAUCUGUCCUCCCUCAGUGGUUUGUUCCCAAGAGAGUAGCCGACAGUUUUCCCCAGUAGAGUUGCUUAUGCAGUUAGAUUCUAUUUGGAUGAUAUCACUCUCCCUCAGUGGGUUGUUCCCCAGCGGAGUUAUGUGGAGUUGCUUCUACAACAGUUCGUGCUUGUGCAAUGCAUCCUUUUGUUUCUCAGUUGACACUGAGAUCCCCU